rnacentral:rRNA from 1 species
GACGAACGCUGGCGGCGUGCUUAACACAUGCAAGUCGAACGGAAAGGCCCCUUCGGGGGUACUCGAGUGGCGAACAGGUGAGUAACACGUGAGUAACCUGCCCUUGACUUCGGGAUAACUUCAGGAAACUGGGGCUAAUACCGGAUAGGAAUCCUUGCUGCAUGGUGGGGGUUGGAAAGCUUCGGCGGUUUUGGAUGGACUCGCGGCUUAUCAGCUUGUUGGUGGGGUAGUGGCUUACCAAGGCUUUGACGGGUAGCCGGCCUGAGAGGGCGACCGGCCACAUUGGGACUGAGAUACGGCCCAGACUCCUACGGGAGGCAGAAGUGGGGAAUAUUGCACAAUGGGCGGAAGCCUGAUGCAGCAACGCCGCGUGCGGGAUGACGGCCUUCGGGUUGUAAACCGCUUUCAGCAGGGGCGAAGCUUGUGGUGACGGUACCUGCAGAAGAAGCACCGGCUAACUACGUG